rnacentral:SRP_RNA from 1 species
GCCGGGUGUGGUGGCACACACCUGUAAUCCCAGCUACUCCGGAGGCUGAGGCAGGAGAAUCGCUUGAACCCGGGAGGCAGAGGUUGCAGUGAGCUGAGAUUGUGCCACUGCACUCCAGCCUGGGUGACAGAGUGAGACUCUGUCUCAA